rnacentral:rRNA from 1 species
CCUACGGGUGGCAGCAGUGGGGAAUAUUGCACAAUGGGGGAAACCCUGAUGCAGCGACGCCGCGUGAGUGAAGAAGUAUCUCGGUACGUAAAGCUCUAUCAGCAGGGAAGAAAAUGACGGUACCUGACUAAGAAGCCCCGUCUAACUACGUGCCAGCAGCCGCGGUUAUACGUAGGGGGCAAGCGUUAUCCGGAUUUACUGGGUGUAAAGGGAGCGUAGACGGCAGCACAAGUCUGGAGUGAAAUCCCGGGGCUUAACCCCGGAACUGCUUUGGAAACCGUGCGGCUGGGGUGCAGGGGGGGUAAGCGGAAUGCCUGGUGUAGCGGUGAAAUGCGUAGAUAUUAGGAGGAACACCGAUGGCGAAGGCAGCUUACUGGACUGUAACUGACGUUGAGGCUCGAAGGCGUGGGGAGCGAACAGGAUUAGAUACCCGAGUAGUC